GAUGAACGCUGGCGGCGUGCUUAACACAUGCAAGUCGAACGGAAAGGCCCUGCUAGUGUUGUUUGCUCGAGUGUUGAUCGUGAGUGUAUGGCGGAAGUAACCGUCCCUUGACGUUGGGAUAACUUGUGGAGAGGGGUGGUAAUACGGGACAGGUGGUCCUGCUGCAUGGGGGGGGUUGGUAAGUUGCGGCGGUUGGGGAUGCGCUGGCGGUUUAUCAGAUUGUCGGGGUGGUAGUGGAUUACCAAGGCUUUGACGGGUACCCUGCCGGAGAGGGUGAGCGGACACACUGGGACUGAGAUGAGGCCCAGCCUCGUACGGGAGGCAGCAGUGCGGAAGAUUGCAUAACAGGAGGAAGCAAGAUGCAGCACCGCCGCGUGCGGGAUGACGGCCUUCGAGUUGUAAACCGCUUUCCCAUGUGAAGAAGAGUGAGUGACGGUAAUGGGUAAAGAAGCACCGGCUAACUACGUG
rnacentral:rRNA from 1 species